rnacentral:rRNA from 1 species
CCUACGGGAGGCAGCAGUGGGGGAUAUUGCACAAUGGGGGGAACCCUGAUGCCGCGACGCCGCGUGGGUGAAGAAGCGCCUCGGCGCGUAAAGCCCUGUCAGCAGGGAAGAAAAUGACGGUACCUGAAGAAGAAGCGCCGGCUAACUACGUGCCAGCAGCCGCGGUAAUCCGGAGGGGGCCAGCGUUAUCCGGAUUUACUGGGUGUAAAGGGGGAGCAGACGGGGGUGCAAGCCAGGAGUGAAAGCUCUGGGGCCAACCCAGGGACUGCUGUUGAAACUGCGUGGCUGGAGUGCAUGAGGGGCAGGCGGAAUGCCUGGUGUAGCGGUGAAAUGCAUAGAUAUCAGGAGGAACGCCGGUGGCGAAGGCGGCCUGCUGGCCUGCAACUGACGUUGAGGCCCGAAAGCGUGGGGAGCAAACAGGAUUAGAUACCCUAGUAGUC